rnacentral:rRNA from 1 species
UCGCGCGGCAUGGUCGUCCUCCGGAACACCAAAGGCGUAAAAAACAUAACUUGAGUUGUGCGGGAUUACGGGCGCGGCUCUCCGCAGCGUCCCUCCAUCCCCGGGUGUUGUAACCGGCAUGCGGUGGUGGCCCUCGGGCCGCUACCGUGCCACAACAUACCGUGAGUGUGCAGGAUGUGACCCGAAAGAUGGUGAACUAUGCCUGAUCAGGUUGAAGUCAGGGGAAACCCUGAUGGAGGACCGAAGCAGUUCUGACGUGCAAAUCGAUUGUCAGAAUUGGGCAUAGGGGCGAAAGACCAAUCGAACCAUCUAGUAGCUGUUCCCUUCCGAA